AGAGUUUGAUCCUGGCUCAGGAUGAACGUUGGCGGUGUGCCUAAUACAUGCAAGUCGAACGGAGUUAGUAGCAAUACUGGCUCAGUGGCGAACGGGUGAGUAACGCGUUGGUGAUCUGCCUUGAAGUGUGGAAUAACGUUUCGAAAGGAACGCUAAUACCGCAUGUGCUCUCGAUUUUCAGAAAGUUGAGAGUAAAGGAUUUAUUCGCUUCAAGAGGAGCCUGCGUCCCAUCAGCUGGUUGGUAGGGUAACGGCCUACCAAGGCUAUGACGGGUAGGGGACCUGAGAGGGUGGCCCCCCACAAUGGAACUGAAACACGGUCCAUACACCUACGGGUGGCAGCAGUAGGGAAUAUUAGAAAUGGACGAAAGUCUGAUCUAGCAACACCGCGUGUGCGAAGAAGGCCUUCGGGUCGUAAAGCACUUUUUGGAAGGAAUAGGAAGGAAUGUACUUCCAGAAUAAGUCUCGGCUAACUACGUGCCAGCAGCCGCGGUAAUA
rnacentral:rRNA from 1 species